GACGAACGCUGGCGGCGUGCCUAAUACAUGCAAGUCGAACGCAGUGGGGACGGGUGAGUAACACGUGGGUAACCUCCCAUCAGAGGGGAUAACACUGGGAAACAGGUGCUAAACCGAGACUGAUGGAUGGUCCCGCGGGUCAUUAGCUAGUUGGGGAGGUAACGGCUCACCAAGGCCACGAUGCAUAGCUGACCUGAGAGGGUGAUCGGCCACACUGGGACGGAGACACGGCCCAGACUCCUACGGGAGGCAGCAGUAGGGAAUCUUCGGCAAUGGACGAAAGUCUGACCGAGCCACGCCGCGUGAGUGAAGAAGGUUUUCGGAUCGUAAAGCUCUGUUGUUCGAGAAGCGGUAUCUAAACAGAAAGCCACGGCUAACUACGUGCCAGCAGCCGCGGUAAUAC
rnacentral:rRNA from 1 species